GACGAACGCUGGCGGCGUGCUUAACACAUGCAAGUCGAACGAUGAAACCUAGCUUGCUAGGUCGAUUAGUGGCGAACGGGUGAGUAACACGUGACUAACCUGCCCCUUUCUCUGGGAUAACGCUCCGAAAGGAGUGCUAAUACCGGACACUCACACCGAGGCACAUGCCUUGGUGUGGAAAGUUUUUCGGAAAGGGAUGGAGUCGCGGCCUAUCAGCUUGUUGGUGAGGUAACGGCUCACCAAGGCGACGACGGGUAGCCGGCCUGAGAGGGCGACCGGCCACACGGGGACUGAGACACGGCCCAGACUCCUACGGGAGGCAGCAGUGGGGAAUAUUGCACAAUGGGCGCAAGCCUGAUGCAGCGACGCCGCGUGAGGGAUGAAGGUCUUCGGAUUGUAAACCUCUUUCAGUAGGGACGAAGCGAAAGUGACGGUACCUAAAGAAGAAGCACCGGCUAACUACGUGCCAGCAGCCGCCGUAA
rnacentral:rRNA from 1 species